rnacentral:rRNA from 1 species
UGGGCGCAAGCCUGAUCCAGCCAUGCCGCGUGAGUGAUGAAGGCCCUAGGGUUGUAAAGCUCUUUUGUGCGGGAAGAUAAUGACGGUACCGCAAGAAUAAGCCCCGGCUAACUUCGUGCCAGCAGCCGCGGUAAU